rnacentral:rRNA from 1 species
CAGCAGCCACGGGAAUACGUAGGUGGCGAGCGUUGUCCGGAUUUAUUGGGCGUAAAGGGAGUGUAGGCGGUCUUUUAAGUCUGAUGUGAAAGCCCACGGCUCAACCGUGGAGGGUCAUUGGAAACUGGGAGACUUGAGUGCAGAAGAGGAGAGCGGAAUUCCAUGUGUAGCGGUGAAAUGCGUAGAUAUAUGGAGGAACACCAGUGGCGAAGGCGGCUCUCUGGUCUGUAACUGACGCUGAGGCUCGAAAGCGUGGGGAGCAAACAGGAUUAGAUACCCCUGUAGUCCCUGUCUCUUAUAC